rnacentral:rRNA from 1 species
GUCUACAGCCAUACCACCAUGAACACACCCAAUCUCGUCUGAUCUCGGAAGCUAAGCAGGGUCAGACCUGGUUAGUACUUGGAUGGGAGA